CGCGCAAAUUACCCACUCCAGACAAUGGGAGGUGGUGACGAGAAAUACUAGUCAGUGUCUCAAAAGGACGCUGAUCUGGAAUGGACGCAAUUUAAGCAAUUCGAUGAGUAACAACUGGAGGGCAAGUCUAGUGCCAGCAGCCGCGGUAAUUCUAGCUCCAGUGGUGUAUUUUAAUGUUGCUGCGUUUAAAACGCUCGUAGUUGGAUUACGUAGUGUGAGUCGGUCAAUUAGCAGAGCUACACAUCAAAACCGAGGCGUUGGCAUCAUGAACACGGUUUCCUUGGACGUGGUGCUGCGUCUCGGUGUGUAGCAUGUUGGUUAUCAGCCGGCCCACACUACUUGUACGUGAGGAUGGCGGUUGACCUUUAGUGCGUUGACUGUUCGUGUCUUACGGAGUGUGCCUUGAAUAAAUCAGAGUGCUCAAAGCAGGCUUACGCUUGAACGUUAAUAGCAUGGAACGAACAAUUGUGUUAUACGUGUCUAUGCUUGCAGGUGGAUGGAUUUAUUUUGUUUAUCUGUAGGUGUAGUUCACAUCACCAACCGCCAAUAACGGAUGUUGGUUUCCGUAUUGGGGUGAUGAUUAAAAGGAGCGAUUGGGGGCAUUGGUAUUUGGCCGCGAGAGGUGAAAUUAA
rnacentral:rRNA from 1 species